ensembl:snRNA U5 U5 spliceosomal RNA
ACACUCAUGUUUCUCUUCAGAUCGUAUAAAUCUUUCGCCUUUUACUAAAGAUUUCCGUGGAGAGGAACAAUAUGAGUUCAAUUUAAUUUUUUGAUGCCCUGCCUAGUGCGGGGCU